rnacentral:tRNA from 1 species
GGGGCUGUAGUGUAACUUGGUAUCACACAGCGUUCGGGACGCUGUAAUCGGGGUUCAAAUCCUCGCAGCCCCA